UACGGAGGGUGCGAGCGUUAAUCGGAAUUACUGGGCGUAAAGGGCACGUAGGCGGCUUUGCAAGUCGGGUGUGAAAUCCCUGGGCUCAACCCAGGAAUUGCAUCCGAUACUGGUAAUCUAGAGUGUGGUAGAGGGAAGUGGAAUUCCAGGUGUAGCGGUGAAAUGCGUAGAUAUCUGGAGGAACAUCAAUGGCGAAGGCAACUUCCUGGACCAACACUGACGCUGAGGUGCGAAAGCGUGGGGAGCAAACAGG
rnacentral:rRNA from 1 species